rnacentral:lncRNA from 1 species
UGAGAGACAGCAGUUGGCAAGACAGUGAGAGACAGCAAGAGAUGGCAAGUGACAGUUAUUGUUAAGAUGACAAAUGGAGAGAUGGCAAGAAAUAGAGAAGCAGUCAGUGAUGGAGGCUGCAAGAGUUGUAACACUAACCAAAGGCUCUUUUUAGAAUCAUCAUUUUCCCUGGCAGGUGGUACAGCCAAGCAGACAGGCAAGUGGCCAUACUGCUGCUGCCUCAUGUAGGAUCCGGCAGGCUGGUGGGUUAUCAGUCCUCACGUGGGACCCUCCCACCAUGGCAGCUGAGCACAUCCAAGCUGGGGGAUCCUGAAGAGACCUUCACCUGGGUGCCACGUGGAAGAUUGGCCAGCACCAUUUUGACUCCUGUGGAUGGCACCCAAACUGCACCUGGUCACCUGUCUACAUUCAGAUUUGGAUGAAAGCCACACCAUGGAGGCAGCCAGAGGCCCAUGGGAGAUGUCUGGAUUCGCAGAGCAAUAGCUCCAUGUGAUGCAAACCUUGACUAAUGGGAACAGGAAAAGGGAGGAAACCAGGAAGAUAAAUCUCCCUCCCUUCUCAUUGCUCCUUGCAACCCUUCCCACUUGAAGCAUGACCACAUUUAAUGAACAACCUGCUGUGUCUCUUGGAAGCUUGCUGCAAGGCAGCAAUCAGCACAAUAACAUUGUACUGUAUCUUCCUCUGCUUCACUUCUCUUCCUCCCUCACCCUCACUGCCCUGAGCUGGCACAUCCCAAAGAAAGCAUUACCACAUUAA